UACGUAGGGCGCAAGCGUUGUCCGGAAUUAUUGGGCGUAAAGAGCUCGUAGGCGGCUUGUCACGUCGGGUGUGAAAGCCCGGGGCUUAACCCCGGGUCUGCAUUCGAUACGGGCUAGCUAGAGUGUGGGUAGGGGAGAUCGGAAUUCCUGGUGUAGCGGUGAAAUGCGCAGAUAUCAGGAGGAACACCGGUGGCGAAGGCGGAUCUCUGGGCCAUUACUGACGCUGAGGAGCGAAAGCGUGGGGAGCGAACAGG
rnacentral:rRNA from 1 species